AAUGAAAGUUGAGAUUAGCAUCUAAUCAUCCUUCGCUUGACAGGCUGAGGUGUUAGGAACACUGAACAUUGACCAGCUUAUGUUGAACUGUUCAGUUUGGACAGACAACAGUGCUUUCGUUCAAGUGGAACUUGGAAGAAGUUCUACUGGGAAAGCACAGGCCCAAGACCAGUGGAAGAGUCUGUGAAGAGACAAAAAGAUCAUGAAAGGAAUGAAACCAGAGAAAGAUGAGACCACAUUGAGGCUUAGCUGGUGGAAUUAGAUACUGUACUUUGGCCUUGUGAAGAGAAGGUAUUUGACUGUUAACAGCUGAAGCACUCCUACACUAGAGGGAGAGUUGGAAAGAACUUUGUUGCUGAGCACUGCCCAGCUGUGGCUGUAGGGUUAAAUUCAACAUUGGUCUUCCAAAGAGAGUAGGAUGUUGAUUUCGUGUUCCUUAGCUCACCAACCGUUGCUGGAGAAGACAAUGUGUUUAGCCUGUACCACUGCCAUAUCUUCUGUUGCCUCCAUCACUCUGUCUUUUCAGCAUUCUUAAGUAGUUCUUCCUCAGUCCCCCCUCUCCCCAGGCAGCCAUUACUGAAUUUAUGAUUCAAAAAAUUUGGGUGAAGAUAAGAGGUACAGUACGAACUGUGGCAUAGACCCUGUAAAGGCACCUGAAAGUGAACUCUAAUGAGCAAGACCAGGUUUUGGAGAAGGGGGAAUUGCAGAGAAGAUGGCACAAGGCUUCUCUCUGAGAUGUGCAGCAACAGGACAAGAGACAAAAGUGAGAAGCUGCAUCCAGGGAAGUUCCAGUUGUGGGAAUAUGUGGUUUUCCCAAGCUCAUGCUUAAAAGAAAGUGAACUGCCAGAUCCUCCUUGCUUGCUUUGGACAAGAGAGUAAAGGUUAGUGUCACAAGAAUGUCAUUGCACUGCUAUUUAAGUGCCCUUUAUUUUAAGGGAUAUCACUAGGUUUUGUGGCAACUGUAUCUUUGCACAUAGCUUAAAAUACAGCUUUCUGUACAAGCUUGUUGCUGCAGAGUAUUUACAUCAGAAAUAGAGAAACAAAAUUAGAGAAAAGAGUCUUUCAUGUGGCUCCAUACAUUUACCUAGUAAAAAGUCUUCACCACUUCAUCUAUUUUGUAACUGUUUUCCAGUACAUCAGCUUUGGCACUUACUCUCGUACUGAAGACCUCAUUAAGUUUCAAAUAACUGCUGUAAUAAAGAACACAAGACACCACCAAUAAUCCAGCACAAAAGUGCUUCUGAUGCAUACUUGAAAACAGUGUUGUUCCAGAACUACGCUGCCCUGAGAUGCAGCAGGGGGAAACAGAGUCAUGGCCCAACAGCAUUACACUCAAACUCUCAGGAGGACACUCAUGCAAGACAGAAGUUCCUUCUGAGCUAACAGUAAGAAGUAAGAUGUUAAACCCAUGUGAUUCCAUGACCUUUAAACAUUACGAUUUACAGAAGUGUUUAUUCAGAUCCUUUUCUAAAGGCUCCUAGUACCUUAUACUUGAGUAUUUUUUUGUCUUUGACUGAUACAUUUGGGUCUUUGGUACUAAACCAACCUGAUUUUUCAAGUAGAAAAUAGUGUUCCCCUAUUUUCUAAAAUGCUUGUUUUUUUGAAGAGGGUACAAUCUGUGGGAUAUAGGUGGACACUGAAUUUGUUUGUGGCAACUAAUACACUUUAUUUGAAUCUUUGCCUCACAAAUAAUACAGAAAUUUCAAAUACAUGCAGAUUAAACCUUUAUGCUUUUGUGGCUUCUCUCUUAAGGAAGACUGCCAAAAAGGUUUCUGAAGCAUGGCGUGGUAGGUAGGUUUUACUGACAUUUAUUUGGCUGCAUUACUCAUUACCAGUUUGACUAAUGGGGAGGACACCCUGUAUGUUGUCAUUACUAUUUUUAUCCAUCAGCACAAGAUGAU
rnacentral:lncRNA from 1 species